UGCAGUUUGUGAUGAAAGUGUUGUCGCCCCAGUCUGAUACAACGUGACUGAUUGACAAUCAUUUCUGAAAUGAC